CGAGUCAUUGUAGCAUACAAGGCAGACGGCUCAGUAACGCGUAGUCAAUCUACCCUAUGGACGGGAAUAACCUCGGGAAACUGAGAAUAAUGCCCGAUAGAACAUUAUGCCUGGAAUGGUUUAUGUUUCAAAUGAUUUAUCGCCAUAGGAUGGGACUGCGGCCUAUCAGUUUGUUGGUGAGGUAAUGGCCCACCAAGACUAUUACAGGUACGGGCUCUGAGAGGAGUAGCCCGGAGGUGGGUACUGAGACACGGACCCAGGCCCUAUGGGGCGCAGCAGGCGAGAAAACUUUGCAAUGUGCGAAAGCACGACAAGGUUAAUCCGAGUGGUUUCUGCUAAAGAAACCUUUUGUCAGUCCUAGAAACACUGAUGAAUAAGGGGUGGGCAAGUUCUGGUGUCAGCCGCCGCGGUAAAACCAGCACCUCAAGUGGUCAGGAUGAUUAUUGGGCCUAAAGCAUCCGUAGCUCGUUUUGUAAGUUUUCGGUUAAAUCCAUGCGCUUAACGUAUGGGCUGCCGGGAAUACUGCAUAACUAGGAAGUGGGAGAGGUAGACGGUACUCGGUAGGAAGGGGUAAAAUCCUUUGAUCUAUUGAUGACCACCUGUGGCGAAGGCGGUCUACCAGAACACGUUCGACGGUGAGGGAUGAAAGCUGGGGGAGCAAACCGGAUUAGAUACCCGGGUAGUCCCAGCUGUAAACUAUGCAAACUCAGUGAUGCAUUGGCUUGUGGCCAAUGCAG
rnacentral:rRNA from 1 species